rnacentral:rRNA from 1 species
AACGAACGCUGGCGGCGUGGAUUAGGCAUGCAAGUCGAACGAGAAAGCACCCUUCGGGGUGCAAGUACAGUGGCGGACUGGUGAGUAACGCGUGGGAAACCUGCCUUCGAGUGGGGGAGUAACAGUUCUAACGGACUGCUAAUACCGCAUAACGCUGUUGUUCGCAUGUUCAACAGUUAAGAUGGCCUCUACAUGUAAGCUGUCGCUUGAUGAUGGUCCCGCGUCCAUUAGCUAGUUGGUGAGGUAACGGCUCACCAAGGCAACAAUGGGUAGCCGGCCUGAGAGGGUGGUCGGCCACACUGGGACUGA